CAAGACCCAAGCUUGUGUUAGCAAUGGAGACUUUAACUAGCUUGUCCGCCAAGGUCUUUACAAAAAACAAUAAAAAAACUCUAUCACCAUCAAGAUCAGCUCUGCUUGGUCGAUCUGAUUUUUGUUUUUCUCCGUCUCCAAAUCUAAAGAGACCACAUUUUUAAUCCUUUGAUUUUGUUUCGACGCAGAGAUGCUCCAUUGUUGAUCGUGAAAUCUCACCCUGCACCUGAUGCAGAGGUCUUGAAUGGCUUCGACACUGCAGUAUCCCGGAACCAAAAAAUAACACCGGCAAAAACUGUUCAUGUGAAGUUCUAGUUGCAGAAGGAGUGUGUAUUCGGUGAGCAAUUUCUCCUAGUUGGGGAAGAUCGAAUGGUUGGUCUGUGGGAUCCAUCGAGUGCCAUACCACUCAACGGGUCAGAGGGACACACAUGGAGUGUUGAGCUGGUAAGAAGGAACUAUCAAAAAAGCUAUUAUACUGGUAUUCGAUAAGAUAUACAGAAUCCGGAUUCUGGCAGGAUGUACGCGUCAAUUUGACGAUGCAAUACAGGUUUAUUCUUAAAAGAAGCACAGGAGAAAUCGUUUGGCAGCCUGGCCCAGACAGAACUUUCAAGACAUGGGAAAGCAAUAACAGUAUAGUGAUUGCUGAGGAUUGGGAAAAUGCUGGAGCUCAAAAAGUUAUCGAGGAGCAAGUUAUCAAUACUCCAGAUUUGGAGCCUGUUGUUGCUGUAAAUGUUUCCCAUAGAGGGGAGGAAGUUACACCUGAUUUCAACAGGGAUAUAAUGCUUUCAGGGCUGUUGAAUCCUAUAACAGAUUGUGCAGAACAAAACGUAAAGAAAGACAAGUUGUGUGGAAGAUUGAAUUU